CCUACGGGCGGCAGCAGUGGGGAAUAUUGCACAAUGGGCGAAAGCCUGAUGCAGCAACGCCGCGUGAAGGAAGACGGUUUUCGGAUUGUAAACUUCUGUUCUUAGUGAAGAAUAAUGACGGUAACUAAGGAGCAAGCCACGGCUAACUACGUGCCAGCAGCCGCGGUAAUACGUAGGUGGCAAGCGUUGUCCGGAAUUACUGGGUGUAAAGGGAGCGUAGGCGGGAAGCCAAGUCAGCUGUGAAAACUACGGGCUUAACCUGUAGACUGCAGAUGAAACUGGGUUUCUUGAGUGAAGGAGAGGUAGGCGGAAUUCUGGGUGUAGCAGUGAAAUGCGUAGAUAUUGGGAGGAACACCGGUGGCGAAGGCGGCCAACUGGGCAUUAACUGACGCUGAGGCACGAAGGUGAGGGGAGCAAAAAGGAUUAGAUACCCGAGUAGUC
rnacentral:rRNA from 1 species